rnacentral:rRNA from 1 species
UACGUAGGUGGCAAGCGUUGUCCGGAAUUAUUGGGCGUAAAGCGCGCGCAGGCGGCCGCGUAAGUCUGAUGUGAAAGCCCGGGGCUCAACCCCGGUGUGCAUUGGAAACUGCGUGGCUUGAGUGCAGGAGGGGAAAGCGGAAUUCCACGUGGAGCGGUGAAAUGCGUAGAGAUGUGGAGGAACACCAGUGGCGAAGGCGGCUUUCUGGCCUGUAACUGACGCUGAGGCGCGAAAGCGUGGGGAGCAAACAGG